rnacentral:rRNA from 1 species
AUGUGUGUACCGAAGAAGAAAGGGGGCUUGGGAUUUAGAGACCAUCACAGUUUUAACCUUGCUACGUUAGCAAAACAGUGUUGGCGACAAAUCCAGAACCCGGACCCUCUAUGUGCACGUGUUUUGAGCGCAAAAUAUUAUCCCGACGGAAACUUCUUGCAAGCUGGACCAAAGAACGGGUUGUCAUUUACUUGGCAGAGCAUAGUUGCAGGUAUUCAAACUUUCCAGAGGGGGUGCAUUUGGCGUGUAGGUACAGGAGCACAUAUUUAUAUAUGGCGGGAUCCAUGGAUCCCUUCCAGUCCUUCAAGGAAGGUAAUCACCUCUAGAGGUGCAACGAUGCUCAGCUCUGUGGAAGAGCUUAUUGAUCAACACAUUGGACAGUGGGACGAAGUGCUAAUCAGAGAUGUAUUCUCUCCUGUUGAUGCUCAUAGGAUCCUUCAAAUACCUUUGAACGUGCAGAUUAUGGAGGAUUUUAUUUCUUGGAACUACGUGCGAUCAGGAACCUUUUCGGUAAGAUCGACAUAUCACAGGGAGCUCGAGCACCAAUAUGGGCAUCUUACUAGAACAGAUGGACAAGGAAAUAUACAGAUGAAGACGAUAUGGAAGGAAGUAUGGAAUCUAAAACUCCCAGGAAAAAUUAAGCACUUUAUUGAGAAAAUUCCUUAUAUAACACUGUUUUAA